UCUUUCUCUUUUCUCCUUGGAAGUUUGCAUCCAUGGCUCUGCGUGGCUAAAGCUUUUAUUGGUCUAAGAAAACAGAAGCCUCGGAAUCAAUAAAACUGUGAGAUCUGAAUUUGUUUUCAUUGUUCAAUUCAUGCUUUGAUGUCGAAUGUCCUUCUGUGCAUAUUUUCAUGAUUAUUUUCGUUUAAUGACUAGGAGGCCUACUAGUUUAUUAUUCGUUGCAAUCUACUGCUAGGUUAGAUAUCAAAUCCGUAAUUGUUUGAUUCCUCUUAUCUGUGAAGCAACUAAGAUCUAAUUAUUUGCUGCGUCAGAAAUUUUCAGAUCUUAGGAAGAAUACUCGGCUAAAUCAAAUGCAACCGCUUGUGUUUGUGUUGUUUAGUUUCAUCGAUCUCUCUAAUUCUUAAGGCUGCUACUAGAUUAAACCGUUAGCGCUUGUCUUGGAUUGUUUAGUAGUUAGGGUUAAUUAGAUCGCUUGUUUUUAAUUAACUACAACUAAGAAGAGAUAGAAAAAUAUUUCUA
rnacentral:lncRNA from 1 species